UAGCAACGAAUAUACAUGAUGGACGUUCCAAUGGAAAGUUAGCACCUCAGUGGUUUCAGAAGAAGUAAAAGCAACAGAUUCGAGGUAGCCAAAGAACAGAACUCUGUAAUUUUUGUGAACCAAAACAAAGAGAUAGAACAUCAAUCUCUUUCCUACCAAGAACACUUUAUUCUGUUUUUUUUUUUCAAGAUUUUUUUUUUGGAAUUCCUUUUUUUUUGAGUUUUCCCUUUGGUUUUUUCACACCACCUGGAACCUCUUCAAUUUGAAACUCGAGAGAGAUAGUUUAUCACCUGAAAGAUUAGCUAGCAAGAGUUUUAAGCUUAAUAUAAGUAAAAGAUAGAAAUUCUGCUUCUUUGUACAGAGAAUCUGUUGCAGCACUUCUAAUCAAGCUGCACAUUAGUGUUCACAUAAACCGAUGGACUUUUUUAGAUGCAUAAAAGUGUCCAAAUCCAAGGGUUUAGUGAAGAUAUCAGCUAGCUGUUGUUCAGAAGUAACAUGGGUGAUUUCAACAGUUUUAUUUUCAACAAGAUCACGAAUGAAAUGGUGCCGUAUGUCAAUAUGCUUAAACGAGUAUGUUGAACUGGAUUCUUUGAAGUAUUGACGGCACAUGUGUUAUCAUAGUAGAUAGCAAAGGUUUCAGAAUCCAUACCAUAGUCACCUAGCAUAUGUUUCAUCCAUAGAAGUUGAGUACAGUAGCUUCUUAUUGCAAUAAACUCUGCUUCAGCAGUUGAUGGAGUCACACACGAUUGUUUCUUACUAUCCCAUGAAAUCAAAUUGUUCCCCAAAAAGAAACACCCACCAGAAGUACUCCUUCGAUCAUCUAGGUUUCCUGCCCAAUCUGAAUCACAAAAACCAACUAAAUUAUGAUUAGUUUGGUUAGUGUAAAAUAACCCUUUAUCAGUUGUACCUUUGACAUACUUCAGAAUCUGUUUGACUGCAUUUAAGUGAGAGAUGCUUUGGAUUCGCCUGGUAUCGAGAACACACACCAACACUGAAGCAGAGAUCAGAUCUACUUGCUGUCAAAUAUAGUAGACUUCCAAUCAUAGCUCUGUAGAGCUUCUCAUCAACUGAAUCUCCACUUUCAUCCUUUGAUAGCUUAGUGGUCAUGCUCAUUGGUGUUCUAGCAGUUUUGCUAGUUUGCAUCCCAAACCGUUGAAUAAGACUCUUUGCAUAUCUUCCUUGAAAGAUUGAAUUCUAUCUGCCGUCUGUUUUAUUUGAAAACCCAAGAAGUAGUUCAUCUCACCGACCAUGCUCAUUUCAAACUCUUGAGUCAUAGCUUUCACAAACAGGUUCACGAGAUGUUGGUGAGUGCUUCCACAGACUAUGUCAUCAACAUAGAUUUGCACAAUCAGCAUUUCUCUGUCCACUUGCGGAAUAAACAAGGUUUUGUCUACACUUCCUCUCUUGAACCCCAUCUCAAUUAGGAAUAAUGCCAUCUCAAUAGAGCGUUCUUGAGUUUGUAAACAUGAUCACGAAACUUUGGAUCCUUAAAACCAUUUGGCUGAGACACAAACACUUCUUCUUGAAUGUCCCCAUUUAGAAAUGCACUCUUCACAUUCAUCCGGUAGAGUUUGAUAUGAAAGAUGCAUGAAAUUCCACAGAGAAGACGAAUUGAUUCCACUCUUACAGGAUGUGCAAAUGUUUCAUCAAUUUUGUUCUUGAAAAUCAACUUGGUCCCCACAAUAUUCACAUUUCGAGGUCUUAGAACAAGAUCCCCAACAUCAUGAACUAGUUUAUUUCUUCAGGCACACACUAAACCAGAAUUCAUCUUCUAGAGCUGUUAAGAUGUCUUUAGGUUCUAUUGUUGACACAAAUCAAGAAUGUUGCAGCAUUUCCCUGAAGUUGAUUUGGACUCCUCUGGCGUUUCAAUAUCUUGAGAUUCUCCCUCAGACCUCUUCUUGUCAUCUAUAGCUUUAAGAGAACGUGUUAGGUUUGUGCCGACAGGAAUAGUAUCUUGAGCAGUUCUGAUUUGCAUUUUUGGAUCAGAUAGGACUAGGAUAGAUUCUACUUGGGUUUGGGGAUUUGUUCGAAUGGUGGAAAAGAAAGAUAAAGAAAUGAAGAGGGAAUGAGUUGAGUCUUUAGGAGAGUAAAAGUUUCAGAAAAUUUCAAAAGUUCUAGUGAAAGAUGUGUGGGAAUGCAAAGUAUAGAGAGAUGGUUAUGGUUUUAUAGGAAAGAAAGAAAAGAAUGAGAAUAGCAAAAAGCUUUGAUGUCUUAAGUAAUAGGAAGAAAGAGAACCAUAGUGAUUAUUAAGACAACCCCCUAUCCACUAGUUUAUCAUAAGAAACUCUCCUAAGACUUAGAAUAUGACCAUAUGGGAUACAAAGAGUUAAAAGGGUAGAAUAGGACCAUAUGGGUUUAGACAUUUAGGAUAUCACUUGGGACCUUUGGGUAGUCAAGAUGUUAUUCUGGUAUGCAUUUGUUGGUCCUUACCUUUAGCAUUCUCCCAAAAGCUCAAUCUUGUUCCUUGAGAGAUCCCUAUACUUAAACGUUUCAACCAUCUCUAAAGGACACCCUCUUUGUCUCUUGAACCUUUUCAUACCUAGCCAAAUGAGUUUGCAUUCACUUCACAUCCAGAUUCAUGGUUACUACUUAAAGAAUGUUAAAACAAAUGGUUGAUUCGAGGAAGGGGAGGCAUACGUGCUGACAUAGACGGAGUUGCAGCGGAAGAACAGCACCACGAACAUAUCCAGUUGACUUUUUUGGUACAGACCCCAUAGAACCAGCCAAAAGAGAGAAUUUGAAAUUAAAUAGGAGAGUGAGAGCUAAAGUAGAUCUGAUCUGUUUGAGUUCCAGGAAAGUGAAAGGUCCAGGCGCUUAAAGAGACGAAACUGGCGUGUUGAGCUUGCUUUCGUAGCUUGUAGGCGUGGUUCCCGAGAGACAAUUGUAAUACUCAACACACACAUUAAAACUACACUAGGCCAAAAAUAAAUUGCAGAUACUCAGCCCAUUAACAAUUCAUGGAAGCCUCAUGCCAAAAAAAACCCGAUAACACAUGUCCUAAUUUUACACAGAUCAUAAACUAAAAUUUUUGUUUCUCCCCUUUUUUUUGAAACAACAAUAUGAAUAUAAUUGACAGAGAGCACCCACUUAAUAGACACAGAACUUGAUGUAUAGAGAAACAAGUAAUUCACAGCACCGUUUCCAUCUAAGACAAACAAGCUAGACUGAGUAAUUUUAGCAACGAAUAUACAUGAUGGACGUUCCAAUGGAAAGUUAGCACCUAUGUGGUUUCAGAAGAACUAAAACCAACAGAUUCGAGGUAGCCAAAGAACAGAACUCUGUAAUUUUUGUGAACCAAAACAAAGAGAUAGAACAUCAAUCUCUUUCCUACCAAGAACACUUUAUUCUAUUUUUUUUUUCAAAAUUUUUUUUUUUUAAUUCCUUUUUUUUUUGAGUUUUCCCUCUGGUUUUUUCACACCACCUGGAACCUCUUCAAUUUGGAACUCGAGAGAGAUAGUUUAUCACCUGAAAGAUUAGCUAGCAAGAGUAUUAAGCUUAAUAUAAGUAAGAGAUAGAA
rnacentral:lncRNA from 1 species